rnacentral:sRNA from 1 species
CAGACUUUGAGGGAAGCUCACUCAGGAUCUGCUCUCCGGCAAAGUAGUAAGUGAGGUGCUGAGAGCAGAAUGAGCUACUUUGUGGAUUCUGCUGGGAGCAGCCCCGUCCCUUACUCAGCGGCUCGUCCUGCAGUGGUGAGGCAAGGACCUAGCAACACUUAUGAAGAUCCUCGAAUGAACUGUGGUUUCCAGUCCAAUUAUCACCAGCAAAGACCUUGCUACCCCUUUUGGGAUGAGAUGGCAACUCAGGAAGUUCCUACUGGUCUUGAACACUGUGUCUCAGAAUUACAAGGCCAGCUUAGCCUGAAGUCAUUGCUUAAAUAACCUGCUAACUGGAAUGUAUUGACAUGAACUGUCAACACGGCUGCUCCCUUCAACCAAUUCCAAGCUCUUUCUCCUCCUAAUGAGAGGCUUCUUGUGUGUCUUGAUUUGUCUGUUAUGCCUCUUGACAUUGCUCACAAUCUCAAUUGGAUCAGAAAACAGCUUUUUCUAGACCACAGAAUGUAUGCUAUUCUCUAAAAUCUUAAGCUCUUAAGAUCUCUACAGUCUGUUUACCCAAUGUAUUGAAUUCUUGUACCCAAUAUCUCAUGAUAAUGUUCAUUUAUGAUACAUAUUUCUUCUCUUCUUACUAUUUGAAUAAAGUAUAUUGACUAUA